AUGAGCGACUUGCAUACCGGAGCAGUUCCGGUGACACUUCAACGGUGCCAGUUUCGCAAGAAAUCCAGAAGCAAUAUUAGACAGUUAGUGAAUUUGGUUAGUAGAGCGAGAGUUAUGGUUUUUUCUGUUAUGGUUAGUUUUACUGCUUGCGGUGGCAAGAGGAUGAAGGGCCUGAGCUUUAAAGCUGGAAAUUUAAUAUGCAAGGGCUGCGAAUUGAAUGAAGGCUCGAGAAAGCUUGGAAAAGGCAUGACAUUGAAGGCAUAA